rnacentral:rRNA from 1 species
CCUACGGGAGGCAGCAGUGGGGAAUAUUGCACAAUGGGGGAAACCCUGAUGCAGCGACGCCGCGUGAGCGAUGAAGUAUUUCUGUAUGUAAAGCUCUAUCAGCAGGGAAGAAAAUGACGGUACCUGACUAAGAAGCCCCGGCUAACUACGUGCCAGCAGCCGCGGUAAUACGUCGGGGGCAAGCGUUAUCCGGAUUUACUGAGUGGAAAGGGAGCGUAGACGGCGGUGCAAGUCAGAUGUGAAAGCCUGGGGCUCAACCCCGGGACUGCAUUUGGAACUGUGCUGCUAGAGUGUCGGAGAGGUAGGCGGAAUUCCUAGUGUAGCGGUGAAAUGCGUAGAUAUUAGGAGGAACACCAGUGGCGAAGGCGGCCUGCUGGACGAUGACUGACGUUGAGGCACGAAAGCGUGGGGAGCAAACAGGAUUAGAUACCCGAGUAGUC